rnacentral:rRNA from 1 species
GACAGAGGUGCCGAGCGUUAGGCGGAAUCACUGGGCUUAAGGCGUGUGUAGGCGGAUCGUUAAGUACCUUGUGAAAUCCCACGGCUCAACCGUGGAACUGCUGGGUAUACUGGCGAUCUUGAGCCACCUAGGGGCGAGCGGAACAAGCGGUGGAGCGGUGAAAUGCGUAGAUAUCGCUUGGAACGCCGACGGUGAAAACAGCUCGCUGGGGGUGUGCUGACGCUGAGACACGAAAGCCAGGGGAGCGAACGGG